AGCUUACGACUUCCUGGGACUCAUACAUUACAUGCAGAUGACUAUUAAAGACGACCCCAACAGCCUCAAUUUGGAGGUCCGAGACUACAAUGCUGACACCGGCACUCAGAUGAUGGGUAUAUUUUAGAUAUUUAGUCCCAACACUUUUAGUUUGUUCGCGAAUUGCACGAUGUCAUCUUUCCCGGGUUUACGUAAGUCAUUGAUCGAGGCAUAGAUUGGGUAGACCAUCGUUUCCAGUUACGUGUUUUCGAAAUGUGCGUGAAUGUGUUGCUUUUAAUGUAUGUUGUUUUGCCUUGGCAGAGGGCUUGGACAGUUAUCUGCAUGGGGUAUGACAACUUAAUAAUUAGUAAAAUCAUAAACCUUUUUGCAAGUAAUUAAUCUUAUUAAUGUUUCGAUUGUAUGAAUUAUUAGUUCCCAGUGACUCCAUGGGCUCUUCGAGACAUUUUGGAGGACUUCAAGCACCUUUAUGGGAACCCUCCUCUCUACAUCCAUGAAAAUGGUAACGGUUUAAAUAGUUUGUUUUGAAUGAAUGUUUGUUUAUAUAUAUAAAUAUAUUUAACGGUUGACUUUUUCGCCCGUUCGAUACAGGUCAACUCAACGUACGCAACACAAGUUUGAAAGACACAGAGAGGGUGGAGUUCUUGCAUGCCUAUAUGGGUGCUGCAUUGGAUGCCAUUAAGGAUGGGUGCAAUGUGAAAGGUUACUUCGUCUGGUCGUUGUUGGAUGUGUUCGAGUUGCUAGGA
rnacentral:lncRNA from 1 species